UACGGAGGAUGCGAGCGUUAUCCGGAUUUAUUGGGUUUAAAGGGUGCGUAGGCGGGAUGCCAAGUCAGCGGUAAAAAUGCGGUGCUCAACGCCGUCGAGCCGUUGAAACUGGCGUUCUUGAGUGGGCGAGAAGUAUGCGGAAUGCGUGGUGUAGCGGUGAAAUGCAUAGAUAUCACGCAGAACUCCGAUUGCGAAGGCAGCCUGCUGGACUGUAACUGACGCUGAUGCUCGAAAGUGUGGGUAUCAAACAGG
rnacentral:rRNA from 1 species